rnacentral:tRNA from 1 species
UCCUCGGUAGUAUAGUGGUUGGUAUCCGCGUCUGUCACAUGCGCGACCCGGGUUCAAUUCUUGGCCAGAGGAA